AUGUAUGGGAGCGGUUGGAGGAAGUUCUAUGAUGACAACAUGCUGGGGAAGGGUCAAAUGGUGGUGUUCUUCCUGGAUGAACCUUCGCCUAGGGCAGCUAUUUGUGUGAUCCAAGUGGGCAACGGCUCUGAAGAUGAACAACCUAUGGAAGAGGGUGAUCCCAUUGAAGAUUCAGAUUCAGAUGAUGAGGAUGGAGAAGCUUCAAGCGAUGAUGGUGAAGGCAUUGUUCGCACCAGGGGGCUUUUGCUUACUGAGACAGAGGGUUUUCAGCUACAAGGGCUGCUGCCUCUCAGUGAUGAUUUCAUCGGGUUUCCUUUCGUUCACCGCCUCACAAAGACAGACAAUUGUUUGGGCAUGAUGUGUCUGAUGGAUGCCCGCAUGCAGAUUGAACGCGAGAUAGAAACUAAAACCAAGUCCUCCUUGAAAGAAGGGUUAGGUCAACAGCUUAAAACUGAUCAUAUGGAGGAGUCCAAAGACUUAACAAGAGAUUGCCUAAACAAAGUGCCGCACACAGGUAUAGCUUUUGAAGUUGAAGGAGGGAAACCUGGGAGUGAUAGAAAUGAAGAAGGCGGAGAUAAGUUGUGUUAA
rnacentral:rRNA from 1 species